rnacentral:rRNA from 1 species
UACGUAGGUGGCAAGCGUUGUCCGGAAUUAUUGGGCGUAAAGCGCGCGCAGGCGGUCCUUUAAGUCUGAUGUGAAAGCCCACGGCUCAACCGUGGAGGGUCAUUGGAAACUGGGGGACUUGAGUGCAGGAGAGAAGAGUGGAAUUCCACGUGUAGCGGUGAAAUGCGUAGAGAUGUGGAGGAACACCAGUGGCGAAGGCGACG